UCUUCUUCAAAACCGUGGCAUGCUUGGAAGGAAGGGUGAUGAGAGAACAUGGUAUUCUAGUGUUUAAAUCAUCUAGCUCCUUUGAGAAAAAAUAUUCCUUAGUGAAUGAAGAGUAAAAUCUUGUGUUUUUUCCUUCUUGAAGAGAUCAUAGGAAGAUGCUUUCUUCUCUUCUCCAUGCGCAUAUCAAGCUGUCCUCUUGGUGUGAUGAUGGAUUUUCAUGCCUUUUUGAAGUAAAAUUGAAGUAGUAGUCUUCUAGUGGUGUUUAAGGUUGCCUCCCACGGACGUGAUCCUGCUUGGUGGAUUGCCUUUGGUCCUUGACCAAAAGGAUUUAGACAUUUCUGAGUGGACAAAGUUACAGCAAAACUUGCAUUGGAGCUACCUAGCUUAGAAGCUUCAAUAAGGUAGUGGCAGUGGCACUGGAGCAGCGGGCAAGAGGCCCGUAGGAUGAGCACGAGGGCUUGAGUCUAUGUUGCAUUUUUGUGGCCAUUGGGCCUAGACUAGACUUAGGACAUGAACAUUGUAUGUGAGCUAGGAUUAUUCAUAUUGUCAUCUUUGUUCAUGUCAUAUUUUGUCUAAGUUUAGUCAUUAUUUCUCAUGAUUUAUUUUGAGGAUUCAUUAUAUUAUAUUUGAAGGAUUGUUGUAAAUUGUAAUAU